rnacentral:rRNA from 1 species
ACGGGUACGGGGUGUUAGGGCACGACNCCGGAGAGGGAGCCUGAGAAACGGCUACCACAUCCAAGGAAGGCAGCAGGCGCGCAAAUUACCCAAUCCCGACACGGGGAGGUAGUGACAAUAAAUAACAAUACAGGGUUCUUUUGGAUCUUGUAAUUGGAAUGAGUACAAUUUAAAUCUCUUAACGAGGAACAAUUGGAGGGCAAGUCUGGUGCCAGCAGCCGCGGUAAUUCCAGCUCCAAUAGCGUAUAUUAAAGUUGUUGCAGUUAAAAAGCUCGUAGUUGAAUUUCGGGAUCAAUAUUUCGGUCAUGCCGUUGGUAUGCACUGUUAUCAUUGAUUUCUCACCUUCUAAAGAACCGUAAUGCCAUUAAUUUGGUGUUACGGGGAAUUAGGACUGUUACCUUGAAAAAAUUAGAGUGUUUAAAGCAGGCUCACGCUUGAAUACAUUAGCAUGGAAUAAUGAAAUAGGACAUCCGAUUCUAUUUUGUUGGUUUCUAGGAUCGAUGUAAUGAUUAAUAGGGAUAGUUGGGGGCAUUAGUAUUCAAUUGUCAGAGGUGAAAUUCUUGGAUUUAUUGAAGACUAACUACUGCGAAAGCAUUUGCCAAGGAUGUUUUCAUUAAUCAAGAACGAAAGUUAGGGGAUCGAAGACGAUCAGAUACCGUCGUAGUCUUAACCAUAAACUAUGCCGACUAGGGAUCGGAUGAUGUUAAUUUUUUAAUGACUCAUUCGGCGCCUUACGGGAAACCAAAGNUUUKKGGGUUUNNNC